AGGCCAGUAGUGCAAAGGGUUAGAGCACGUGCUCCCGGAUAGAGUAAGAUGUGGGUUCAAGUCCCGCCUGGCGCA